CAGCCGCCACGGUAAUACGAAGGGAGCUAGCGUUGCUCGGAUUUACUGGGCGUAAAGCGCACGUAGGCGGAUCGAUCAGUCAGGGGUGAAAUCCCAGAGCUCAACUCUGGAACUGCCUUUGAUACUGUCGAUCUGGAGUAUGGAAGAGGUGAGUGGAAUUCCGAGUGUAGAGGUGAAAUUCGUAGAUAUUCGGAGGAACACCAGUGGCGAAGGCGGCUCACUGGUCCAUUACUGACGCUGAGGUGCGAAAGCGUGGGGAGCAAACAGGAUUAGAUACCCCGGUAGUCCCUGUCUCUUAUAC
rnacentral:rRNA from 1 species